rnacentral:rRNA from 1 species
AGAGUUUGAUCCUGGCUCAGAAUCAACGCUGGCGGCGCGCCUAACACAUGCAAGUCGAACGAGAAAGCGGGAGCAAUCUCGCAAGUACAGUGGCGUACGGGUGAGUAACACGUGGAUCAUCUGCCCUGGAGUGGGGAAUAACGCUGGGAAACCGGCGCUAAUACCGCAUAUUCCCGAGAGGGGAAAGCAGCAAUGCGCUCGAGGAGGAGUCCGCGGCCGAUUAGCUAGUUGGCAGGGUAAAAGCCUACCAAGGCUAUGAUCGGUAGCCGGCCUGAGAGGGCACACGGCCACACUGGCACUGAAACACGGGCCAGACUCCUACGGGAGGCAGCAGUGGGGAAUCUUGCACAAUGGGGGAAACCCUGAUGCAGCGACGCCGCGUGAGCGAUGAAGCCCUUCGGGGUGUAAAGCUCUUUCGGCAGGGACGAUUAUGACGGUACCUGCAGAAGCAGCUGCGGCUAACUACGUGCCAGCAGCCGCGGUAAUACGUAGGCAGCAAGCGUUGUUCGGAGUUACUGGGCGUAAAGGGUGCGUAGGCGGCCUGUUAAGUUCCGUGUGAAAUCUCCCGGCUCAACCGGGAGGGUGCGCGGAAAACUGGCGGGCUAGAGUACGGGAUGGGAGAGUAGAAUUCCUGGUGUAGCGGUGAAAUGCGUAGAUAUCAGGAGGAAUACCGGUGGUGUAGACGGCUCUCUGGACCGUAACUGACGCUGAGACACGAAAGCGUGGGUAGCAAACAGGAUUAGAUACCCUGGUAGUCCACGCCCUAAACGAUGCAUAUUUGGUGUAGGUCAUUCAGUUGAUCUGUGCCGGAGCUAACGCGUUAAAUAUGCCGCCCGGGGAGUACAGUCGCAAGGCUGAAACUCAAAGGAAUUGACGGGGGCCCGCACAAGCGGUGGAGCAUGUGGUUCAUUCGACGCACGCGAGACCUUACCUGGGCUCGAACGGCUGGUCAACGAUCGUGGAAACACGGUUACUCCGCAAGGGGUCCAGUCGAGGUGC